rnacentral:rRNA from 1 species
GACGAACGCUGGCGGCGUGCCUAAUACAUGCAAGUAGAACGCAGUUGCGAACGGGUGAGUAACGCGUAGGUAACUGCCUCAUAGCGGGGGAUAACUAUUGGAAACGAUAGCUAAUACCGCAUACUGUGAGAUGGACCUGCGUUGUAUUAGCUAGUUGGUGAGGUAAAGGCUCACCAAGGCGACGAUACAUAGCCGACCUGGGAGGGUGAUCGGGCCCACUGGGACUGGGAAACGGCCCAGACUCCGACGGGAGGCAGGCGUAGGGAAUCAUCGGCAAAGGACGGAAGGCUGAACGAGCAACGGCGCGGGAGUGAAGAAGGGUCUCGGGGCUGAAAGCUCUGUUGUUAGAGAAGCGGUAACUAAAGAGAAAGGGACGGCUAACUACGUGCCAGCAGCCGCGGUAAUAC